GACGAACGCUGGCGGCGUGCCUAAUACAUGCAAGUAGAACGCUGAAGAGAGGAGCUUACUCUUCUUGGAUGAGUUGCGAACGGGUGAGUAACGCGUAGGUAACCUGCCUUGUAGCGGGGGAUAACUAUUGGAAACGAUAGCUAAUACCGCAUAACAAUGGAUGACACAUGUCAUUUAUUUGAAAGGGGCAAUUGCUCCACUACAAGAUGGACCUGCGUUGUAUUAGCUAAUAGGUGAGGUAAUGGCUCACCUAGGCGACGAUACAUAGCCGACCUGAGAGGGUGAUCGGCCACACUGGGACUGAGACACGGCCCAGACUCCUACGGGAGGCAGCAGUAGGGAAUCUUCGGCAAUGGGGGCAACCCUGACCGAGCAACGCCGCGUGAGUGAAGAAGGUUUUCGGAUCGUAAAGCUCUGUUGUAAGUCAAGAACGGGUGUGAGAGUGGAAAGUUCACACUGUGACGGUAGCUUACCAGAAAGGGACGGCUAACUACGUG
rnacentral:rRNA from 1 species